AGAACAAAUGUCCCUUUUAAGCUUUUUUUAUUAACCUGUUUUUCUAAUUUAACACAUCUUAUUAUCUUUUGCUUUAAUAUACAAACUUUGAUAAUUGAAAAAAUCUGGUACAUUGUAAUUGGAUUUGCUGUUUUGUUAUCAGUUAAUUCAGAAAGAAAUAUAGUAAAUACAGUCGAUUCUUCUAAUUUGUGGAUUCUAUAUUUGUGGAUUUGCCUACUUGGGGUUAUUUUUAACCCCAAAGUAAAUACCCACGGUGCUUUGGUGGUUAUCCAUAGACAUGUGCAGAGUGGCAAAGAACUUGAGUCACCCAACAUGCAUGUUUCCAGCUACAGUUGAAUAAGGCGAUGCUCUGCCUUCUUGUUUCAGCUCUUACACUGUAAUCAAUGAUCCUUUUCAGGGGCUGUUUAUUGCUACUUUUUUUUUCACUUCUGUGCUUUUUCUUGGUGAUUUUGCUGUUUAAAAUGGCCCCUAAAUAUAGUGCUUAAGUGCUACCUAGUAUUCCUAAGUAUGAGAAAGCCAUGAUACGCCUUACAGAGAAAAUGUGUUAGAUAAGGUCCUUUCAGACAAGGGUUAUAGUGCCGUUGACCAUGGGUUGUGUUAAUUAAGCAACAAUAUAUAUUAAAUAAAGUGUCUUUAAACAGAAACAUGCAUAAAAGUUGGUUGAUGAGAAUGUUGGAGCAGAGGCUCGCAAUUACCUAACUCACCUCGUAUUUCUCCUCAGAGCCAGUGGUUCAAUAUUCGCUAAUUCAGUGGUUGUGAUGACUUGAUAGUACAUAAAUAAAUGUUCAUAUACGCAAAUAGUGAGAAUCAACAGUAUACAAAGUAACCUAGUUGUCAAGAUUUUAAAAGGGACAAAACCCAACUGUUGAUUAAAAUAUACCAUCUUUUUUUUAAAAUUUCAGUAUGUGGAACUGUGCUACAAAUAGUUGAAUUUCCUUAAUAAUCAGUUACUUCUUAUUUUUGUGCUUAUUUUAUAUAUAAA